ACCGAUGUGCUGGUGGCCUUGCACUAAGAUUUUCAAACACUGGUGGUCCGUGGGGUCAAUUUUACCCCAGCUACAUAGCAAAUGUGUCACAAGUAAUCAGAAACAAACACAUUUUGACACAUUUAUGCUUUCUCAUUUUUUUCACAGGAGCCCUAUCUUGUAUCUUGCUUGGCAGAAGCAGCUGAUGUGGGGAAGACUACCUGUGACAUAAACAGCAUGUCAGACAGGUUACCAGCAAACAACCCACGGGGCAGGAUUGUAAACAAAGCUUUAAUUCAAGGCAACACGGUUAAAGGAGGCAUUUCUAACAACAUCUCAGUUACUUCCAGUCAAGAAGUACAGGUUGUGAACGAAGCACAAAUUGAACAUAACACCGGAAUUGAAGGAAAUAUUUCAAACAACAUAGAAGGUAAGGGGGGAAUAAUAAUAAGGA